UCCCUUCAAAACCAUUUGCACCGGGAUCGUGGGUCACACGUUGGAUUCAGCUGCAGAAGAGGUCUGGACUGAGAGGUGACCUGGGCGGAGGGCUUGGCCGCAGUAACAGCAAACCAUUGAGGAACCAGGAACAAUAAGGAGGGCUGGAGUGGAAGAGUCUCUACAACCUGACCUGAGGUGUACCCUGGGGAGUGAGUGCAUGUUGAGGAGUCAGGAAGUCCUUGUUGUGUUCCAUGAGAAGCAAUCAUAAUCUGACAGGGACAAGAACCUGAGAUACUAUGUCCGGUGGCCCCAUCGUUGCUUUGUGGCUCCCUGCAAUUGCAUGGGUUGCAGCUGCCUAAUACCGCUGCUGCUUAUGGGAGAAGACUGAAAGAGGUUGGCUUGGUUAGCCUAGAAAAACAAAGGACACCUCAUGGUCCAACAUUUACAGACAGGUGCUGGCAGGGAGCACAGGGUGGUUUGUACUGGCUGUAAACGUUGGAAUGGUUCCCAAAGGAGAGCUGAGCUCAUCUGAGGAUAAGAUUUCAGUUGUGGGUGCUGCACACUUGAAAAUCAAUAAUGAAGAGCCCGUAAUGAUCCAAGUCAACAUCCCCUACUUGCCGCUACGCUGUAUUUGCAACCACUUCUCAAGCCCAUGGGAGAUGCACCUGCACAGCAGCCACAGAAUUGAGGGUUAUCUAAUUGCAAUCAAGAGGUGACAAGAAAUAUCAGGGUCCCUGGAUGGUGAUGCUGGUUGUGCAGAUCGUGGUGCAGAGGCUCUUUGGUCUUACCAACAACAAUUCCUGGACAGCACUAUGGAACACUGCCUGGCAGAGGACAAAAAGCACGGCAAGGACCUGAUUUUCAUGCAUUGACAGGAAGAAGUCACCAUCAUUGCAGAUUCUGGCGUAUGUCCAGGCCUACCACCAAAUUUACUGGAGUGAGCCAUGAAAUGGCUGUAUAGUCUUCAUUAUGGACAGAAGUGGGUUGUGGACAGGGCUGUUCAGGGACAAGUAUCAGGUUCCAGGGUCUUUAUGAAACACAAAGAAUUGUUGGCAAGGACUGUCUUGUGUUUUGUACAGCACCUAGCACCAUGGGGUCCUGGUCCAUGAUUGAGGCUCCUAGAUUCUACUGCAAUACACGUAAUAAAUCAUUAUGACAAGUAAUCAUCAUAAUCAUGAUCAAUUUCCUUUUAUGUGACCUGGAAAAAAUAUUCAACAAAAAAGUUGUGGCAAUAUUAAAUAUUUAAUAAACUAUUUGAAUAGGUUUGCCAACUAAUUAAAACCUGGGAUUUUUUUUCAAGCUCUCUGUCCCCUACCUUUAGGAGUCCUAUUUACUAAAACAUUUCUAAGCUCUAGUCUGCCCAAAAGAUUGUCUGAACAGAUUUGCAUACUGCAUUUCUAUUGUUAAUCAUGAAUAGAACUGUUAUCAAAAUGAUUACUCAUGUUCUUUGUCAUGCAAAAAAGUGAAAUAAUGUUUUUAAUAAUGCAGUCCAUUAGAGGUGGGUUGGUUGAAUUUAUUGUGUCU